rnacentral:rRNA from 1 species
AACAAACGCUGGCGGCGUGCCUAAUACAUGCAAGUCGAACGCGGAAAGCUUUCGGGUGAGUACUAGUGGCGCACGGGUGAGUAACGCGUGGAUAAUCUGCCUUAGAGUGGGGGAUAACUAGUCGAAAGAUUAGCUAAUACCGCAUAAGACCACAAGAACUGCGGUUCAAGAGGUCAAAGGUUUUUCGCUCUAAGAUGAGUCCGCGUAAGAUUAGCUAGUUGGUGAGGUAACGGCUCACCAAGGCAACGAUCUUUAACUGGUCUGAGAGGAUGAUCAGUCACACUGGCACUGAGACACGGUCCAGACUCCUACGGGAGGCAGCAGUAGGGAAUAUUGCACAAUGGAGGAAACUCUGAUGCAGCGACGCCGCGUGAGUGAUGAAGGCCUUCGGGUCGUAAAGCUCUGUCGCAGGGGAAUAACACAAUGAAUGUACCCUGUAAGAAAGGAUCGGCUAACUUCGUGCCAGCCGCCGCUGUAAUAC